UACAGAGGCCCCGAGCGUUAGGCGGAAUCACUGGGCUUAAAGCGCGUGUAGGCGGAGGGCUAAGUACCUUGUGAAAUCCCCGGGCUCAACCCGGGAACUGCUCGGUAUACUGGCCUUCUUGAGGCAUCUAGGGGCGAGCGGAACAAACGGCGGAGCGGUGAAAUGCGUAGAUAUCGUUUGGAACGCCAACGGAGAAAUCAGCUCGCUGGGGAUGUCCUGACGCUGAGACGCGAAAGCCAGGGGAGCAAACGGG
rnacentral:rRNA from 1 species